CCUUUUAAAUGUAACCUUCAAUAUACAUACUAUGACUCCUUCCUUAUCAGCCCCUUAAAAGUGGAUCACAAGCACGGCUGCUCAAGAGUAGCUGCCAAGGAUGAAAAUCACCUCUUGCAGAUUUCUACUGCUGGACACGUCCUGAGGUGAAAUUGUAAAAAAAGAAUACGGAGGAACAUGGCAUACAUAGAAGUGGCAUGACUGGACCAAAAGGACAAUCUAAUUUUAUGAAAAAUUGUCAUGACAGCAUCAUUGAAGGAAACAAGCACAGAUAUUCCACAUAAUUUUAAACCACUAUGUAAAACAGAAUGAAGUCUGUGAACUUUUUAUUGUUCAACUAUUAUAAUUUUGGGAAAUCUGUUUCUUCACAGUUUAUUAAAGUACAAUAUCCCUAGACAAUCACCUGGUUAUUUUUCAAAUGAAACACACUUUGAGACCCCUAAUGACAACACAGUAAGCUCAUGAGAAGAAGUAGAUUUAUAUUUUUAAAACUUCCUAAAAGAGAAUAGGUAAACUGAACUUGUGUGUAAUUUAUAUAAGACUCAAUAUUUAACUAUUAUGAUUAACUAAGCUGUAAGUUCAAUACAACUAUGUAACUCAAGAAAUCAUGAAAUAAUGAUUGACUGUUUCUCAAAGUGUCUAACUGCUAAUACUGAAAUAAAUGCCAGCAGCUUUCCAGUUAGA